rnacentral:rRNA from 1 species
CGGGACGGGUGAGUAAUGUCUGGGAAACUGCCUGAUGGAGGGGGAUAACUACUGGAAACGGUAGCUAAUACCGCAUAACGUCGCAAGACCAAAGAGGGGGACCUUCGGGCCUCUUGCCAUCGGAUGUGCCCAGAUGGGAUUAGCUAGUAGGUGGGGUAACGGCUCACCUAGGCGACGAUCCCUAGCUGGCCUGAGAGGAUGGCCAGCCACACUGGAACUGAGACACGGUCCAG